AGAAAAAUCAAGUACCAUAGUCCAGUGUCCUCUUUUGGGCAUUAUUGAUCACUACCUUUAGUGGUCCUCCUCUGACAUUGUUCUACUUUUUCCUUUUUCCUUAUUGCUACAAAAGCUUUCAAGAUCCCUUGUGAAAUCCAUAGCAACAACCUACAAGGGUGGCUUCACCAUUCUGCUUUGUGCUUCUUUCAUCAGAACCAAAUAAACAAUGCUAUUUUUGCAGAAGACGGCUUUUACUUUAUCCAUCCCUCCAAGUUCAAUACUUUUUAUCUUUCUUCUUCUCACAUUUCAACAAGUCAGCUCAUCUCAACAGCACAACAAAAACGAAGACAUGAUUCAUUCAAGCAAGAAAGACAACAGCCAAAAGAUGAGUUCCAGCCUAUUGUUUGAUAUCACACUCCAUGGAUUUCUCCUAUGGGCUUCAAUGGGAUUCCUUAUGCCUGUUGGGAUUCUUGUUAUCAGAAUGUCUAACAGAGAGCAAUGUGGAAGAAAGCUGAAAUAUUACUUUUACAUUCAUACUAUUCUACAGUUGAAGGAUUUUGAUUAUACUUCAACCACAAAGAUGGGGUCCAAUUUGAUGAAUCUCACUUCAAGAUCAAACAGUCGUGGUUCAAAUAGUGUCUGUAUUACUAGUCACAGCAGGAGCAGUCAUGUCUAUCAAGAAAUUCAACAAUGCUUUCAAUAAUAAUCACCAAAGGAUAGGGAUUGGCUUGUAUGGGAUGAUCUGGUUACAGGGGUUGAUUGGAAUUGUAAGGCCAAAAAGGGGGUCUAAAACAAGAAGCGUAUGGUUUUUCAUACAUUGGAUGCUUGGGACAGCAGUAUCUCUGCUAGGAGUUUUCAAUGUAUACUCAGGAUUAUUUGCAUACCAUGAGAAAACAUCUCAAAGUAUAAGAAUUUGGACUAUAAUUUUUAGUGUUGAAAUUUCUUUGAUAUCAUUCUUUUACCUAUUCCAAGACAAAGUAGAGUAUAUACAAAAGCAAGGAGUUACUUUGGGGAAUGAUUUGGUAGUACUGUCUCCAAAUGACAAGCAAAAGGAACUUCCUACUGAUCCAUGCUGAAGAAUUAAGGAGUAAAUAAAAUAGAGUUGUCAAAACGUUGCUUCUUUCUUUCUUUUUUUUUUUCUCUCUUUUCACUAACAUGAGAUUGGUGUUAUUCUUCUUACUCAUUUCUCUCUUCUUCUUGGGAUUUGUAUAGGAAAAGAGUGUGGUCUUUGUAAGAAAUGGAAAAUCUUUUGGGUUUGGAGGAGAUGUUUUUUUGAUAAGACAAUGUGAGUUUUUUUCUGUUUUCUAUUACAGAUUUUCACAUAAUGGAUACAAAGUUUUCUUUUUUUGAAGAAUAAAGAUGUGAGCACAGAUACUGA